AACAACCGUUAGCGGAUAAACUUAUGCUUAAGGAGACAAUCGUUAGCAUAAAUCACCGCAGGACAGCUAAUGAGGGCUGGAGCCAAGGUAACAAAAAAAUUUAAUAAUCCAUUCUCCUUUUAUCUUUUACAUAACAAACCUGCCAACUUUCCUUUGCAACACUAAUUAAUUAGCAGUCAUUAGCCGCCUAUUUUAUUGCCAGCCAUUAGCCGCCUCCAUUAGCCGCCUAAUUAAUUUCCCUUGUAACACUAAUUAAUGAGCAGCCACUAGCCGCACACUUAAUUUCCAUUGCAACACUAAUUAAUUAAUUAUAUUUUACAGCUAACCUAUCUAAAUAUAAAUAAUUAAUUGGUUCACAUAUCUUCUAAGUAACUUGGGGUUUUAGCGUUUUCUUCUCAACAAUAUACAAUUUUAGCUUGGAUUUUGAAAAAGAAUUUAUACAAAGACGUAUAGUGGAGUAAAAUCAUCAGGUUGUUACAGUAGAUUGUUAGUGGAGUAAAUCGUAAACUGUACCUUAGAAAUGGAUGGAUGCUAACACACUAGUACUAAUAAUUUACUGGUUAUUUCAAAGUUAAGUUCUUUAAAUCUCCCAAUAGUCUGCAUCAAUAGUUUAUCCUUGCACUACAAGAUUUAACAGUUUUACCGACAGAAUUUUUAUGUCGGUGUAAGACACAUAUUCCGUCGGUAAUUAAUUUACCAACGAAAUCACCGACGGAAAUGAUCCAUCGGUGAAUCUUUCAUCGGUAAUUUUUUGUGCGUCGGUAAAUCCGUUGGUAAUAAAAAAAUAUUAUUACCGACGGAUUUACUGACGGAACAGAUGCAUCGGUAAUAAAAAAAAUUAUUACAAACGGAUUUACCGACGGAAUUUCCGUCGGAAAUUCCGUCGGUAAAUAUUUAAAAACAUUUUUUAAAAAAAUUCAUUUUAUAAAAUUAUAAAAUAAUUAAAUUAACAUAAAUCAACACUCUAUAAUAUAUACUCAAAAUGCUUGGAAAAAAGAAUAAGAAAAUCAACUCAAACAAAUUUGCAACAAAUAAAUAAAAUGAAAAAAUAAAUUCAACUAAAAAAAUUCAUAUGAAAAAAAUGAAGUUGCAAUUGCUAAAAAUUUAAAAAUCCUAUAAAUAAAUCAACUAAAAAUUGAUCUCAUAAGAAAACAAAAAAAAUCUCACAACAACAUUUAUACAAUUAUUAACAACAAAAACAAUUAAAAAUAAAAUAAAAUCAUGAAAAAAGAAGAAAAAAGAAAAAUCUUACCUUAAUGUAGUUGCAAAUGAAGCUAAGGAGAGAAAAAAAAAUUCAUAAAGCAUAUUAAUUUUAAAAAAACUAAGAGGAUAAAAGAAGAAAAAAGAAGAAGACAUACCCGAGUAUGGAGGAAAAGAGAAGGAGAUGAGGAGAGAAAAGAAGAGAAAGAAAUAGAUAUUGAUGUUUUUUACAUAUAGUGAAGAAGAAGAAGAAGAAGAAGUAGUAGUAGAAGAAGAAUAAUAAUAAGAAAUGAGUCUGUCUCUUGUAAAAUAAGGGGAUUCAUGCUUUUUAUUGGGGCGCGUUAGCGACAGAUUUACCAACGGAUAAUUGAAUAUUAAUAUUUUUUAAUUAUUCCGUCGGUAAUAUUUAAUUUAAAAUUUCAAUUUCGUAAAAAGAUUUCAGAAACCGCCAACAAUUACCGAUGAUUUUUUAAUCCGUUGGUGAUUCCGUCUGUAAUAUUUAAAUGAAAAUUUUAAAUUAAUUGAAUUUUUUCAGAAAACCGCCAAAUAACACCGACGACUUUUCAAUCCGUCAGUGAUUUUGUCCGUAAAGAACAACAAUUAACAGUGCAAUUGGAAAGUGAACAGUUCUGGAGCUCUCUAGAAAAUACCGACGGAAUUUUCCAUCGGUUAUUCCUUUUGUAAUUGACAUGAUGAAUAGUGUUCACAGUUUACCAACGAAUUUACCGACGGAAUUUAAUUUUUUCGUUGGUAAAAAUGACAUGUCAUUAUUUUUUUGCUUUGUUUUAAUUUUUUUUCCCACGGUUAUUCCCUCGGUAUAUACCGAGGGAAUAUUUCCGUCGCUAAAAUCCCUCGGAAAUUUACCGACGAAAAUAUUCCCUCGGUAUUUCCGUUUGUAUUUAUCGAUUUUCUGGUAGUGUUGUAUAUUCUGCAUUUCAUGAAUAUUCUGUUGUGGCAUUAGUAUCUUUUCAUCUUACACCUGACUUCCCUAAUCCCUUUUACUUGAAUAGAUUAUAAAUUAUAAUGGAAAAUCAAGGAGGCAAGAGAGGAAAAACUAUGUUUGCAUUCUUUAAACCAAACGAACAAACAUCAACCAGUAAAGGACAUUCUCCAUCCAAUGUUGAUGUCCCAAAUCGUAGUGAACAACCCCCUUUCAAAUCUCAAAGAGUUGAAAUUGAUGUUAAUACUCUUGAUCGAGAUCCUGGGUUACGAAUUCUAGUGUGGAAACAUCCUAUUAAUCAACUUAGAAGAGCUUAUAUCAAAAUGGGUUCAUAUCAACCUAAGUUCGCAGAGCAUCCAAGGACUGAAUCAGUGAGACAGUAUCGUCGAUUUCAAUACACUUGGUUUGAUCAAUUUCCUUGGCUAGAGUACUCUCCAUCAAAGGAUGCAAUGUUUUGUUUUCCAUGCUUUAUCUUUGAAAACAAAGUGUCAUCUCACAUUCACUACCGAAGGCUUUAGAAGUUGGAAGAGGGUUAAUGAUGGGGUUAGAUGUGCACUUUUGAUGCAUGUGGGAAGUCUCACUUCACCACAUAAUAAUGCUGUGAAAUCUGCUGAAGAUUUAAUGAAAGUAAGUAGACAUAUUGAUAAAGUCUUGAAUGCACAAACUGAUGAAGAAGUUCAGAAAAAUCGGUUGAGACUUACGACAACAAUUGAAAGUGUUCGAUGGCUUAGCUUACAAGCAUGUGCAUUUAGAGGCCAUGAUGAAUCUUCGGCUUCUAAUAAUCGAGGCAAUUUUUUGGAGAUGAUAAGACUUAUGGGGAGACUGAAUGUUGACAUUGAUGAUGUUGUCUUAGAAAAAGCACUACAAGAUUUCACAGUUUUACCGACGGACCAAUUUCGUCGGUGAUUUUUUUACCGACGGAUUACGUCCGUCGGCUUUACCUUCGUCGGUGAUUCCCCCUUCCGUCGCUAUAUCGGUCGGAAAAACAAAAAAACCAUUUGCCGAUGGUUUUACAGACGGAAUUUGCGCGCCAAAAAAAAAAAAGAUUCCCGCUUGAAAUAUACCGACGGAUUUUUAUUCCAUCGGUGAUAUUGUAAUUGACCGACGGAAACUAUCUGUCGGUAAAUACAUCGGUGAGUGUAUGAAAUUCCGACCGAAUAUGUCCGUCUAUAAAUUCGUCGGUACUGGUGGAAGCUACUGUUAAAUUCCGACGGAUGAAUUCCGUCGGUAAGGCUGUCGGUGAGUGUUUAAAAUACCGACCGAAUUAAUCCGUCGGUAAAAUCCUUGGUAAUAGUUUUUUUCUUAAUUUGUUUUUAAAAAAUUAUUUAGGAUAUAUAAUAUAAAACUAUUUAAAUUAAUUGUAAUACAAACCAAUUAUGCAAAAAAAAUUUAUAUUAAACAUAAAAAAAAAACAAAGUUAAAUAAUAUUCAUUACAAACUGAAUAUGUUUCAAGAAAAAUAUUAAAUGAAGUUUUAAAGGUAAAUAAUGUUGAUUACAAAUUAAUAUACACUACAAGAUUUCACAGUUUUACCGACGGAAAAAUUCUGUCGGUGUGUGAUUAGAAGUUCGUCGGUGAUUUUUUUACCGACGGAUUACGUCCGUCGGCUUUCCCUUUGUCGGUGAUUCCCCAUUCCGUCGCUAUAUCGGUCGGAAAAACAAAAAAACCAUUUGCCGAUGGUUUUACAGACGGAAUUUGCGCUAAAAAAAAAAAAGAUUCCCGCUUGAAAUAUACCGACGGAUUUUUAGUCCGUCAGUAUAUUGUGAUUGACCGACGGAAAAUAACCGUCGGUAAAUCUGUCGGUGAGUGUAUGAAAUACCGACAGAAUGUCCGUCUGUAAAUUCGUCGGUAAUUGUGGAAGCUACUGUUAAAUGCCGACGGAUUAAUUCCGUCGGUAAGUCUGUCGGUGAGUGUUUAAAAUACCGACCGAAUUCAUCCGUCGGUAAAAUCCUUGGUAAUACUUUUUUUCUUAAUUUGUUUUUAAAAUUUUUUUUAUGAUAUAUAAUAUAAAACUAUAUAAAUUAAUUGUAAUACAAACCAAUUAUGCAAAUAAAAUUUAUAUUAAACAUAAAAAAAAACAAAGUUAAAUAAUAUUCAUUACAAACUGAAUAUGUUUCAAGAAAAAUAUUAAAUGAAGUUUUAAAGGUAAAUAAUGUUGAUUACAAAUUAAUAUAAAGAUGAUGGAGCUGGAGGAGGAGGAGGAGAUCCUGGCGGAGGCUGGUGGUUAUACGGCCAAAAAAGAUUAGGCACACAUGUUCCGCUAUUUGACAAUUUCAUAAUCAUUUCGUGAAGUUGUUCAUAAGCUGCUUUUUGCUGUUCAUGAGCCGCUUCAUACUGCGCUUUUUGUUGUGCUUGAGAUGCUUUGAGUUGCUCAGACUCUGCUCUUUGUUCCGCUCUUUGUUGUGCAUGAGACACUUUGAGUUGUGCGUAUUCCGCUUUUAGGUUAUCGUAUUUCUCGGUGAGUUGCUGCAAAGCCACAAACUCCUUAGAUUGGGAGCUCGAUAUUGAUUGGGAGCUCCCAACGGUUGAAACACUACGGGUCGACCGCAAGUUGUCGGCCGUAGUGUUGGAGAGCCCGUAAACCCGAUUUUUAUCGGGUCCACCUGACGAGCCAACCUCCAUCCACAAAUCUGGAUCGAAUUCUGGAUGGGUCAAAGUAUCGUCCCCAUAUCUCUCCCUCAACCGAUUAUUAUAGGUCUCCUGAAAAUAAAAUAAAAAAAAAGAAAUCAUCAUAUUCAAUACAAUAAACAUAAAAACUUACAUAAUAACUUACAAAAUAAAAUGGUUGAACAAACAUUCCAUGAAAUGCUGAGCACGGUUAUCAACGAACUGUUGCGCCCCCUUCUGGCGGUCUUGACUCCGCACAUGCGUCUCCACAAACAGCUCCAUCGGGCUCGGCUCACGUCCAAGAGACGCAGCCUAUAAUGAAAAAAGAUAUAUUAACAACAACUGAAUUUAACAAUAUAUUUCAUUUAAAUUAAUCUUACCAUCUGUUUCGCAUGUGCAGCAAACGGAACGGAGCCGCCAGUGUGCGUUGUCACCCCGCCAUGAAUUGGCCGAUUCCGGUUGCCAGCACCGGACUGUGAGCGUCGUGUGAACCGCUCAGACGUCACGUGCUCAAGAUAGUGCGGCCAUAUAUCUUCUGGGAUGUAUAUCGGUUUGAAAUCCCUCCAAACCGCAACAUCAUUCCAGCCUUGGAAAUCCCUAUCCCUCGCGGUUUUUUUUGCCUUUUUCUGUGCUUCAUACCAAAAAUCACGCAACCUACUUCACGCAACCAAAAAUUACAUUAAUAAACAUAAAUUUUUGUCUAAAAAAAAUCCUGUAUUGUUUUCGAUCUUACCUAGUUGCCGCGUGAUUUUCCCACACCCU
rnacentral:lncRNA from 1 species